rnacentral:rRNA from 1 species
UACGUAGGGGGCAAGCGUUGUCCGGAAUUAUUGGGCGUAAAGAGUUCGUAGGCGGUUUUCUAAGUUUGGUCUUAAAGACCGGGGCUCAACCCCGGGAAUGGAUCGAAAACUGGGAGACUCGAGGAUGUUAGAGGAAAGUGGAAUUCCAAGUGUAGCGGUGAAAUGCGUAGAUAUUUGGAGGAACACCAGUGGCGUAAGCGACUUUCUGGGACAUUUCUGACGCUGAGGAACGAAAGCUCGGGGAGCAAACAGG